AGUAAAACCUUGUUAUUUCUAGCAAGUUCAUGAAAAGUUAUGAUGUGAGAAUCGGUUUCGGUUCGGAUGAGUUUUCCUCUGUCAACGCUUAUAUUUACACCAUAUUUACAUUUUACACCCACUAGCCCAGUACCUUAGACCCACUUUCUUCCUCGAAAACCCGCAUUCCUUGAACCUAUAUAAAUCUCCUUUUAAACUUCGUUUCGGUUCCUUUUUUCCACAGUAACUCGGUCGGGAUGAACAAAUUGGAAGAAAGGGUUGCUAAAGAUCAUCAAAUUAAUGUGAGCUAUGCUCAUGCACUCAACUGGAUGUCCAGAAAGCUUGGAUAUACUUCAAGCUCAGCUGGAGUGUGCAGCUUUCAAUCUGUGGCAGAUCCAUCCCAACACAUUUGAUAUCCGCUUUUAUCAAUGCUUGAUGAUUUAUUUCUGUGACUUUAAAUUGUAUGCAUUAACAUGUCUCGUCAUCAUAUUAUAUAAAACAGGCUGUGCUCGGCUGUAAUUUGACUCUACUGGUGAAUGACUGAAUCUUGGUGUUAUUGAGGAUUUCGUUAGGUCGGUAAAAUUGGUUGUUGUUCGUGAAAUAUUGAACCUCAAUUGUAUGGAACUGAGGGCAGGUAGUAUGAUCAAGCUCACGUCCUCUUUAAUUCCAACAUAGUUACCCAAGGUGUUCUUUGUGGCAAUUUGUUUCAACUCGAACAAAUCAACAGUUUAGCUCUCCAUGUAUAAUCAGGUAAUGCCUUUCCUGUUUUCGGAUUUUCAGUUCCCUACUUAGCAUGGCAAAAAUCUUGACACCUUGGAAUAGUAGGCCACUAUUUUGACACUGCUGUAUCAGUGUAACUUAUAAAUGUUUUGUUUUCAUUGUUUUGUUUUCACUAUUUUUAUGCUGCUUCUGCUCACUGAGGAGGAACUCGGCAAUGUGCGUUAUGCUGGUGAAGCUCUCAGAUCCCCAUUGACUAAACUGGGUAAACGGAACCAUCUUUGCGGAACCUAUUUAAGAAAGAGCGAGGUGAUCAAGCAAUAUAAUCAAACUUAAUCACCUGGUGCCUUGGGCAUGCCUGUAGACUCUUUUUCCUUUCCAGGACUGGUGGGUUGUCCCUGUUAAAGUUGUAAUUGCGUCCGCGGCGGGAUUAGGAUUAUUGCAUUUUGAAUGCAACCUUCUGGCCUAUGUGGAGUUCUUUACCAUUUUUCAUCUGAGCAAAAGGUUUAGUAAAUAUGAAGGAAUAUUCAUGUCCUGUUAGAAUAACCUAGCACGGGUUACAAUCUGGUUAGAUCAGAUAAAGUUCAGUAAAGUUAACGGAAUUUUGAAUGGCUCCAGGAGUUACCGUCGAGGUUUGUCUUUGAUUUUUGCUUUAAAAGAAGAGAAAAACUGGAAAAGCUACUGGGAAGAGGAGAUUUGCGUCACUUUUCGUUUGUUAAGCGUCACGGGAAUCCCGUAAAGGAUGACUAUGCUUUUACAUUUUUUAUUAAGCUUACAUAUGGAUUAAAUACAGUAAUUAUAACUGCAACAUAGGUACUAAUCCUACCAUGGUAGAUUGACAAAGUUACACUUGUAAUUGUUUGAAAUAAUC